rnacentral:rRNA from 1 species
AGCGAACGCUGGCGGCAGGCCUAACUCAUGCAAGUCGAACGGACCCUUCGGGGUUAGUGGCGGACGGGUGAGUAACACGUGGGAACGUGCCUUUUGGUUCGGAAUAGCUCCUGGAAACGGGUGGUAAUGCCGAAUGUGCCCUUUGGGGGAAAGAUUUAUCGCCAUUAGAGCGGCCCGCGUCUGAUUAGCUAGUUGGUGAGGUAAAGGCUCACCAAGGCGACGAUCAGUAGCUGGUCUGAGAGGAUGACCAGCCACAUUGGGACUGAGACACGGGCCAAAGUCCUACGGGAGGCAGCAGGGGGGAAUCUUGCGCAAUGGGCGAAAGCCUGACGCAGCAAUGCCGCGUGAAUGAUGAAGGUCUUAGGAUUGUAAAAUUCUUUCACCGGGGACGAUAAUGACGGUACCCGGAGAAGAAGCCCCGGCUAACUUCGUGCCAGCCGCCGCAGUAAGAC